rnacentral:lncRNA from 1 species
UGAGGCGCCUGGGGGUUGGGGAGGGGAAGGGGCUGCGACACCGUCCAGCACAUGUCUGUCCUAGCCCAUGACCCCGCACACUGGUGGCCUCGGCUGCUGUCACAUGACGGAAGGUGAGGGAAAGGUGGGGCCAGCUGGUGGCUACAUCCAAAUGGAGGGCUGGGGACGCUGUUGAAGAAGCCCCAUGGCUCAUAUACAUUUUUUCAAAUUAUCCUACAUCUGUGUACGUAUGUGUCUGAUUACCGGAGAUGCUACGGAGCAGAGAAAGCAUGCGCGGGUACAACAUGUAGCAUGUGGUGUUGCAUAAUUCGCCUGAGCUUGUUGAUUAUGCGGAUCUGGCGGCUUUAUUAGGUGUGGCUGUGAUACCCCUGGAGGGCGCUCCUCUUGUUCCCUGCUGCUGUGCCAGCCUUGUGCUGCCCAUUACAUUACUUGUAUGAUAGAGCGGCAGUGUUGUAGGCGCUUGGGGGCUUCCAUGGUUAGCUGUUUUCUCUUCGCUAGUUCGUGCCUUCUUGAGUCCUGGAUUAAUGUAAUUCCGUUCCUAAUUAGGCAUGCAUGCUUGUCUCGAACCACCGGUGCCGGGGAAGGAGUGCUGUUCCUAGGCCUGCGAGGCAGGGACUGCUUAAAGAGUAUGUUGUCGUCAUAUGAUAUGUGCACAAUCAUUGAAUAUAUAUAAUGUUGGAGCGAGCCUGUACAGCACUCCGUGAAGAAGCUAAUCAGCAGGUCCUGCUCCUCAAAGUAGGCCUUGCUGACCUCCUUCACCUUGGCGGGGGUGAGUGCUUGGACCCUGUACCAGCCCACGGGGCCGUCCUCUAGCUACUUGAGCACGCCCUGAUUGUCCGCCUGCAGCCAGUCCUCGAGCUGUCGUCCCUGGGGUGGAGGAACUUGGUGGGCUACUUAUCAGGCCCCAUAUGGCCAGCUAUGAGAAGGUGACCGGGAAGUGCACGUGCAGGAUAUAUCUUGCUGCAGUUGCCAAGCAGAAAGCCCCUUAAGUGCUAACCAACCAAUAAAUAUGACUGGGCUCUCGCACAUGAAACAUACCAAGCAUGGACAAGCACUCACAAAAUGCCAAGCUGCAGGAACAACGAUUGUGCUGGACAAUAAGAUCUCACCUCACAUUUAAUGCCUCAGAAGGCCAUGGUGUUUCGAAUUUCAUUGGACAGAAGCGAUGGCUUGUCCACCACAGCUGUCAUCAUUCUGUGAUAGAGACAGGAACAUAGUGAUGUGAGCCAUUAAGCAGAGAGGAGAUACCACACUCGCUGCAAAGGAGGGAUUUUGCCCUCGAAACUGAGGCGCCCCCCCAAUGCCGCAAGCACAGAUAGGUGUACCAUGCAUGCCGGCACAGCUAGAGUGUGUGCCCUUUCCUCGAUCCUUGGCUGAGACCCUACAUCCGUCCCCACAGACUGCAUUCUGAGCAUGCGGCGCCUUCCCUUCCCCGGAUGAACUCACCCACAGUGCCUCUGAUGCCCAGUGUAACUAAUGUCUCAUUCGCCUACCUUGAAAUGCACGGGGAAGGCACCCUUGAUGACCUCAUAGGCAUGCACAAAGCGGCACUCCUGUGGGCAUGACUGCUCCAGCUCGAUGGUGAUGCAUUUCCUCACCGCGUCGACUUCCGCCUCCAACAUCUCCAGGCUGCUCGAGUGCACGUGCAAAUUUUGGCGGGUCAGCACAUUAUCGGCCUCCGUUGCCACCUGCGCCAGCUUCAUGUGCAUGCCUGCCGCGACCUGCUGCAGCCCGCUGUCCCGCGCUUCGGCCAGCUUAGCGAAAUAGUCGCUGGACGUCGUGCGGAACUCCUGGUUGCCGCAGGCGUGCAGGAGGAUUUGCGUGGCGAGGUUGCGCAGGCGUGGCUGCCAGGCAAUCGCCUCCCGCUUCUCCAGAUCCGAUACACGCGAAGAGAGAUUCUGGAGUAUUUCCAGAAACGUGCCAACAGGUUCAGUGACGGCCUGGCUCCCGACGAGGCGCGUCUCCGAAUUUUCAACAGGGGCUUUUCAACAGGGGUUUUUUGGAAAUGGGGGAGGGGCAAGGUUACCUAAUAAAUGUAAAGUACAGGAUGCUUUGGUUUGGGCUUGUCCAGGAUUUAUCUAACUGACAGUCUUCUAAACUACGUGCAAUAUGUAGACUUCUAGCUGUUUUAAUACCUUUUAAUUUAGCCUCAUGAUCCAUUUCCCUCCUCUAGUCAAAUUGUCCAGUAGCCGCCGCAAAUAAUAUUUGGCGAUAUACCUUAGCGACUAUCAAUGAAAAGGCCAAAUAAAAGAUAAAUAUAAUCGUGCUUUGGAGGUUAUAAAGAAAGGCCAGAUUCUAAGUAAUACGGUGAUGGGAUGCAGCUGCAUGCCAGAUUUUUUUGCUGCCUCGGACAACCCUUGCUUGACCUGCUCCUUGAGCAAUUUACGGCCAGCUACUCACAACUAAACCACCUCUGCUGCCACUUUCACCGUACUUGCCAGACAUGGUUGCUACUUUAUAUUAUUGAUAGAAAAACAGCUUUUCGGUGUAAGUAGGGGCUGUACGAAUGGCUCGUCCUCCCCUUCGUGCCUUCCUGGCGACCCCAGCCUGGGCCUCGUCUAUGCCUGGUUCAGAGCGAAAUUUCCGGAACACACACCGCGGAUAGUGCAUUUCGUGACAACCUAGCGUGCCGCGUAGGAUGUAUGUCGUGUGUGGCUCGUGUCCUGUGUGUUUAAGUUUUGGGUUAUUUCGGAUCUGUUUUGUGUAAAGUCGCGUCUUGACUUCUGUUUUCGUCGGGUUGAUGUGUGUUGCGCGUCGUCCGUGUACCUUCGAGUUUCCGUCCUUGGGUUAUUGUGUCAUCAACCGAAUUUGCUUUUUCUGUGUCUUAGGCUUUUGGUUUGCGUACUCUUUGUGGAUGUUUUGGGCACGUCCGUUUGGUUGUAUACCGGUUCAUUUAGACCGGCAGGUAUAGGUGUCGUGCGCCAUAUUUAGGCCGGUAUCCACCGUCACGAUAGGCAGCGCAAUCCUUUCUGGCUCUCCCUCCCAUUCCCCCACGUUCGCCAUCGAAUUCGUCUCCGCCGCCCGCAUGCAGAGAUGCAUCCGCCAAGCCAGCGCCCGCCCACCACCACCCUUGAUGCCUCCCUGCACAUCGGAGGAGCUGGUUCCGGAUGCCUGGAUGCACGUGGCCCCCGAGUUCCGUGGGAUGGGGAACUGCUAGACGUGAUGAGGAACUGCUAGACGUGAUGGGGAACUGCUAGACAUGAUGGGGAACUGCUAGACGUGAUCGAGGUGCGGACACACAAGCGGACGUGCGGCAAGGUCGUGCCCAUCAUGGUCCUUGGCGCGCCGGUGCUCAACGAUGAGAGUGAAGUCGACUGGAAGAUCAUUGUCGUCGGCACCGACCACGAGCUGGCGGUGGAUGUCGGUGAUAUUGCUGGCCUCGAAUGACAUUUUCCAAGGGGGCUUGGUCAAAUCCGGAGGUGGCUGCGCAAUCAUAAGGCACCUGAUGGCAACCUAAACCAACCUGCCCCCAACUCAUACGGCAUGCACGGGUUGCUGGUGGACAGUGCUGACAUGUGUUCUGAUAUCAUCGGGGAGGCCCAUUCGGCUUACACCAAUUGCGGUCGUGGUCGAACUCCGAGUCAGAGUCAUUUACACGAGCGUCGAGGUCUAGGCCGAAGCCAAAGUCACAGUCAAGCCCUAAAAACGAAACCACGGCAUAUUCGCGCCUGAAUAUCACCCUUCUGUCACAGCCAUUAGUUUGAUUUCACACACUACCAAAUACGUUCCCUUGGUACUCUUGAACUGCUUUGCUUUCAGAUUCCUCAGCGUCACGAAGUUCUCUGCCAUCCGCUGGAUGAUCAUCAGGUCCGGGUUCUGUUCGUACACAUCAAAGUCGCUGGCGCCAACAUUCCCAACCACGCCAAUUGCCGUUGCAGCAAACCCCGUGUCAGGAGCGCCCACGAUUGUGAUCGAAGCCACGUACGACCACCCUAGGAAGUAGCUCUGCGCCAUUUUUAAAAGUUUUUCCAUAUUCUAGAUUACAUUUUUGCUGCAGGCGCGAUUAUUAUACCGGCCCCUACAUGACUCUUAUUGGACCUGUUGUUGGAUCUCAAACGAACGGCUGCUGCCGCCAGCAGAUCACCAUGGACCGUCGCGUCAGGGACAAAGCGGUGCUCCCCCACACCCCGUAUUACGUUAUAACAUUCACGGAACUCGUUCAACAAGUCAUGUGUGUAUCGCUUCUGGCUGCGAUCUAUAACAUGGCCGCCGCCACCGCUGCUGCCACUAGUGAGGACAGGGUAGCACAUGCACAUUGGUACAUGAGCCUUGACAUCCCUGAGCUCCAGGCGCAACAGGGAUGGGUGCACACACUCCACACACCUCACGGUGUGCUCCACACGGCGCACUUUGCACAGCUACCGCUGGUGUGCGGUGGCCGGCAGCAUGCACACGAGCAUCUCCGCUACUUCACAGCCAACUCAGGCUUUGACACGAGCCAACACUUUGAGCCCCCCAUCAGCAAACUGAGCCAUCUGACCAUCAUGUUCAGGGACCACAUGGCCCACCCACUGCAUGAGAUGGGAGACCACACGCUGAGGCUCGAGAUCAUCACUGCACGAGAUGUUGUUCCGGCGCCGCUGCUGCCACAGCAGGUCACAGGCAUGAAGUCGAGUCCUGCCGAACUUGUGGACUCGCCCAGGGAGCUCACGGCGGAAGAUACCGUGAUUCCAGGCUCGCGCGGUUAUUCCUUACGUCCCUUUCCCCCAGCCCGCCAAGCACCAACCACCCAAAGAGUGCAAACUCACCUUGAGGCUGCCCAUCUCAGUCAGCAUCUGACUGCUGACUGAGCAGACACUCUUCGAGGCUAAAGGCGCCCCCUGAUGGUCAGGUUCUCCCCGGGAGCCGACCAGACCGUCCAGCUGGUCCAAGAAGAUGAUGGAGGGGGGGCUGGCUCGGCCCGGGCAAAAAGUGCCGCGAGGGCCUGUGUGUGAGGAUUAAGCAAGAGUUGGGAGGGGAUUGGGGCUCCACAACACCAAUACAAGGACACGCGGGACUGUGAGAUGCAUCAUCCGCUAACUGGAGAGGAUGUGAGAGCGGGGGCCAUGACGUGCAGGGAGCAGGGUCGAACGGACACGGACGUGUCAGUCAGUCACCUCUGCACCACGUACUUGCUGACCAUCUCCCCCGCUUCAGCCGCCAGAAAUUUAAGACGGGCUUCAGAGGCCACUGCGCGGGCCAGCAAUGUUUUACUGCACCCGGGGGACCCGUACAGCAGCAUGCUGCGGGGGGCCUGCACACCAAUGUGAGCCAUGGCACUGCGGGCAGCCAAAUGGUGCAUGAGUCAGAUCUGCACCCCAGGUCCGCUGGGCGAGCGUGGCAUCUACGUCCGCUCCUUGCCAUACCUGAUACGGUCAUGCAGACUUCAGUGUGAAUACGACUCAUAUUCACACUGAAGUGUGUGGGCACACUGACCGCCACCUCCACACAGUCAUUGUUACCGACGCCCCUGCCGCCAGUGCUCAUGCACACACUGUCAGCGCCCCAGAAGGACUUCCUGGGCAUCGACUUCACGCCGCCCAGCAUGUUCACCAUCCGUGGUGAUGCUGUCACUGUCGGCAACCAUGAGCCCGUGCAAUUGCUACGUGCCCUAGGGAUGCUGACUGCCGACAGCGCUGUCUGUGUCAUGAGCACCAUGGCCUACCUCUAUGAUCAGCCUGCAUCGACAAUGGUGGCUUCAACCGGUACGUCAGCACAGAGCAUGCCGCAUCCAACCGGCUCGUCUUCAAGUGUGAUAGGCUCCUCGUGGGGACGGCAUACAAGGUGCACCUACUCACGCUGAUGCUCUCAUCCUACAACCUGGGCCUCACUGCACCCAUCAUGGACAUCGCGACCAACAUCUUGCUCAAAUCCUGCAAGAGUGGUGGCAGGUCGGCCGACGCCAUCACCCCAGCACUGCAUGAGCAGCAUGGGGCUGCCUGGGUGGGUGGAAAUCUGGCGGGGCAACCUCUACAUCGAGCCGCGCGCAAUCAUCUCGGCGCAGGGCAGCGCACGCCCCCAGGACCUCAAGCAGGCGACACGCGUGGCGCUCUACAGUGAGUACAGCUGAACACAUGCGGGCGCCGGCCUCACACGCAAUCCGUACACCUUCAUCAUCGUCCGCACCGGCGCCAUCAUGUACGAGCUAUCCAAGCCCAUCCUGUACACGCACCACAACACACUGGGAGCAGCGUGGCAGUACGUGUUUGCAGCCGGCGGGCAGGACAGCGUGAGAUGCCCCAUGGCUGGUGUCACAGUCAGCGAGGUGGCGGCGGUGGUAGCUGUGCUGGCCUGGGACACGACCACGCCCAUCAGCAUCUUCAACGCGCCUCUCAUCACGAUCAACAUGUGGAACUACUAGCAGUGCAAGUGCGACAGAAUGUGGCUCUCCGCGACAGAACGUGGCUACCCAUCAUGCGCGGUGUGGCAGAUUUCAUAGUGUUCGCCUCAAGGCGGGUGACAACGCCCAGCAAGCAGUACUUCACACUUAAGAAUGUAUGCAGCCCGUCCAGGCAGCAGGGCACUUCUUAACACGCUCACGAACUACCCAUGCAUGCUGGCGCUGCACUAUGCCAUUGAGGCAUCGUAUCUGCUGAACACCGAAGUCAGGGGCACAUGGAACAUUGUUUGCUCGGGGUUGCAUGUCCCAGAGAUCCCAUCCACUGGCAUCCCCAAGUUUGGUGACGCCGAGCCGAGGAUGAGCUCUUCCUCCAUCACCGAGCCACUGCUCAUCCUCACACCAUACCAAAAUUCGCUUUUUUUGAGGUGAACCCCGCACUCGACGUCAGUAGCGGUGCCAACGCAGUCCUGGACUACUAAUGUGCACGCACAUCAGCGCCGGACCACCUGAAUAGCCUCGUGCCAUGCGCACUCAUCCUACCACAAGUCGCACAGUCGCUGCCCAUCAAUGUUGCUGCACGCUGCAUCGGUGAAUAUGAGUGCUCAUGCGGUUUCUAAACCUCUACACUGUCCAGGCCCAUUUGGCAACCUGAGUCGUCAUGUAGCCUACACUAUGAACGACGUGACCAUGAGCGCCAUGCUGCUGCUCAUGAUCCUGUGUGGCCUGGCGGGCUUCAGGACCCAGGGGGUUGUCACGGGCUCCCAGUACUCUUACGAAUGUUCCUCGUCUGCAAGAACACAGGCGCACGCAUGCCGCUGAGCUGGCAGCGUAUCAACGUGACCGGCUUUGACUAAUCACCCUAACGAACUAUCCAGAGCGGUUUACACACUCAGCUACGCCAGCUAUUUCACGGGCGCGAACACCAUCAUCGAUAGCUGGCCGUCGCCGCAAUAGCCAUAGGAGUGGAAGCACACGCAAUGAGCCAGAGUGUUGCCACGCCGCUGGUCAUGCCCACUGCCGCGGCGCUCCUCACACGGUUCCGGGUCGAUAAGUACACACAUCUCGUGGUGGAGCCCCAUCGUCUGGAAUCUUGUGCGGCGGUACAAAGCCAGCGUUGAAUGAAAGUGCACCCGUGCAGCAUGUGUGAAGGAGGUCAUGCAGUGUAGCAGCCCACAGCGUACCACAUGACCCACUGGAGCAUGACCAUGUUCGAUGCUAGGGUGCACACCACAGUUGCGUGGACACAGUGUGUGGCUGCCGUCGAGCACGUCGUGGUCGCGAGAUCACACGCCUGCACGAGCAUGGUGUCAAAACUAUCCGUACAUCUGUGUGUACGUAUGUAUCUGAUUACUGCAGAUGCAAAUCAUGCGGAGCGGACGAAGCCAGGUGGUGGAAGGUUGAAUUGCAUGGGUACGACAUGUAGGCGUGUGGCAAGCGAUUAGCCUGAGCUUGUUGAUUAUGCGGAUCUGGCGGCUUUACAAGGUGUGGCAGUGAUACCCCUGGAGGGCGCUCCUCUUGUUCCCUGCUGCUGUGCCAGCCUUGUGCUGCCCACUACAUUACUUGUAUGAUAGAGCGGUAGUGUUGUAGGCGCUUGGGGGCUUCCAUGGUUACCUGUUUUCUCUUCGCUAGUUCGUGCCUUCUUGAGUCCUGGAUUAAUGUAAUUCCGUUCCUAAUUAGGC